rnacentral:rRNA from 1 species
GCUAAUACCGCAUAUUCUGUGAGCAGGAAAGCAGGGGAUCGCAAGACCUUGCGCUGAUUGAGCGGCCGAUAUCAGAUUAGCUAGUUGGUGAGGUAAAGGCUCACCAAGGCGACGAUCUGUAGCGGGUCUGAGAGGAUGAUCCGCCACACUGGAACUGAGACACGGUCCAGACUCCUACGGGAGGCAGCAGUGGGGAAUUUUGGACAAUGGGGGUAACCCUGAUCCAGCCAUGCCGCGAGAGUGAAGAAGGCCUUCGGGUUGUAAAGCUCUUUCGGCCGGGAAGAAAUCGUAUGGGUUAAUACCCUGUGCGGAUGACGGUACCGGCAUAAGAAGCACCGGCUAACUACGUGCCAGCAGCCGCGGUAAUACGUAGGGUGCGAGCGUUAAUCGGAAUUACUGGGCGUAAAGCGUGCGCAGGCGGUUUUGUAAGACAGGCGUGAAAUCCCCGGGCUCGACCUGGGAACUGCGCUUGUGACUGCAAGGCUAGAGUACGGCAGAGGGGGGUGGAAUUCCACGUGUAGCAGUGAAAUGCGUAGAGAUGUGGAGGAACACCAAUGGCGAAGGCAGCCCCCUGGGUCGAUACUGACGCUCAUGCACGAAAGCGUGGGUAGCAAACAGGAUUAGAUACCCUGGUAGUCCACGCCCUAAACGAUGUCAACUAGGUGUUGGGUGGGUAAAACCAUUUAGUACCGGAGCUAACGCGUGAAGUUGACCGCCUGGGGAGUACGGCCGCAAGGUUAAAACUCAAAGGAAUUGACGGGGACCCGCACAAGCGGUGGAUGAUGUGGAUUAAUUCGAUGCAACGCGAAAAACCUUACCUACCCUUGACAUGUCCAGGAGCCUGAAGAGAUUUGGGUGUGCCCGAAAGGGAACUGGAACACAGGUGCUGCAUGGCUGUCGUCAGCUCGUGUCGUGAGAUGUUGGGUUAAGUCCCGCAACGAGCGCAACCCUUGUCGUUAAUUGCCAUCAUUUAGUUGGGCACUUUAACGAGACUGCCGGUGACAAACCGGAGGAAGGUGGGGAUGACGUCAAGUCCUCAUGGCCCUUAUGGGUAGGGCUUCACACGUCAUACAAUGGUCGGUACAAAGGGUCGCCAACCCGCGAGGGGGAGCCAAUCCCAGAAAGCCGAUCGUAGUCCGGAUCGUAGGCUGCAACUCGCCUGCGUGAAGUCGGAAUCGCUAGUAAUCGUGGAUCAGCAUGUCACGGUGAAUACGUUCCCGGGUCUUGUACACACCGCCCGUCACUCCAUGGGAGCGGGUUCCGCCAGAAGUAGGUAGCCUAACCGCAAGGGGGGCGCUUACCACGGCGGGGUUCGUGACUGGGGUGAAGUCGAAACAAGGUA